rnacentral:rRNA from 1 species
CAGCACCUCAAGUGGUCAGGAUGAUUAUUGGGCCUAAAGCAUCCGUAGCCGGCGCUGUAAGUUUUCGGUUAAAUCUGUACGCUCAACGUACAGGCUGCCGGGAAUACUGCAGAGCUAGGGAGUGGGAGAGGUAGACGGUACUCGGUAGGAAGGGGUAAAAUCCUUUAAUCUAUUGAUGACCACCUGUGGCGAAGGCGGUCUACCAGAACACGUCCGACGGUGAGGGAUGAAAGCUGGGGGAGCAAACCGGAUUAGAUACCCGAGUAGUCC